rnacentral:tRNA from 1 species
GCCCCUAUAGCUCAGUUGGUAGAGCUACGGACUUKUAAUCCGCAGGUCCCAGGUUCGAGCCCUGGUGGGGGCA